rnacentral:snRNA from 16 species
CAAUGGCCCACAUUGCACUUGGUGGGUGCGUUGGCCCAUCAUCUCCCCAAGUGGGAGAGUGAACGUCAUAAUUUGUGCUAGAGGGGGUACGCGUUCGCGCGGCCCCUGC